UAUUAAUUUAGUUAUAGGCAUAUUUCUGGACCUCCACAUCGCAAGGUCUUCAUUCGAACAGGCUCGCUUCAAUCUGGUCACAGUUCUUUCUAAUGUCGAGGCCAAGAAGAGGUUUGAGUUUUUUGAAGCUGUUGGUGAGGGAAUGGAUGCUCACCUUAUUCGUUAUUUCAAACAAGGAUAUAAGCUAUUGCAUCAAAUGGAGCCAUAUGUCCACUAGAUUUGUUUUUGUUAAUGAAUUGCCAUAGAAAAUGUGUAGGGUGCUUAAUUUAGCAACAUGAGUUAGUGCAUAGACCAGAUGUGAUCUACAUUCUUCUGAUCAGUUAGAAGACUUUAUGGCACAGGUAAAGGGUCUCUUCUCUAGGAAUCAUCCAUAUAAAAUGAUUAUGAACGUCAAUAUUUUUCAUCAUCACCUAAAACCAAGCUCUUGGUUUUCCAAGCAGAGAAAUCAUUGCAGGGGUAGCCUUUCAAUUUUUAUUUUUAUUUUUAUUACAAGGGUAAAUAGUCUAAAAAGCAAUUCCAAGCCUGUGAUUUAUUUCCAUUUUGCAAGACUCUUAUGGGUCUUCCCUGUAAAAACAACAAGCUUUAUUUUAAGGUGGCUCUAUUGUCAUGAA